UCAGCGGUGCGAGACCGAACGACAAGCUCAGCGAAAUCGUCCGCGCCCUUCUCCCCUCCUCCCUUUGUGAACGGAGCCUCCGCUAUCACAGAAGUCGGGGACUGCCGUUUCAAGAGGGAGAUUUCUUUCAGGGGAAGUACUAUGCAGCUCUUAUUACACAUCCAGAGAGAAAUUCUAAAGUGUUCGUGUAAAAUGUGGAAACGACUCCCCGCCGACAAGAAGGCCGCUCCUUCAUCGAAUCGAAUUGAAGAUGUACACAGUUUUCUUCGGCAUCCGCCGUUGAGCAUACGUACGCACAAGUCACAUGUCAGCAACUAGGGAAGCCACAGACGCUAUGCAAAAUUAGAGCGCCACGUAUGAAUCAUUUUAUGAAGCUUCUGUUAUUCGCCUGGAGUAUGGCGGGCAUACCUGGAGACACAACAGGCAGAGCACCUCGUUUCAAACAUAGAAGAGGAAAGGUCAAGUGGACAUCUCAAGGUCGCAGUUCAUAUGAAGCACUUCUGUGUUAGCACCGCGAGGCAACUGUGGCUGUGAGCGGCGUACAUAUGUGAACAAAUGGAAAGAUGACAGCAGGAAGUAAUGGGGGACAGGGGGGGCAAGGGAAAGCGCGAAAGCGCGUUUGACUGUUGGACCCGGAGCAUGCCUUACGGAGAAGCGUAGUAGUAGAUGAGACAAUUAAAUAUACAAGGACAAACACAACACAAGCCUCACAACUGCAUAAUGGCAGUUGAAGAAAAGGCACCAGCAGUGGGAUUCGAGCCCACACCCUCUGAUGGCCGGUGCUGGAGGAUUACGGAGAGGCCCCGCCUUUCACGUGGAGCAGCAGGAGGGUAUAUUCUGUCCCAGUGCUGUCCUACAGAAAACACCUGCACUUGACCAAAGAAGAGCACACCGUCACUGACUCGAUCCGCUCCCACAACAAGAAAACGGAGAAGAGAAAAAAAAAUCCUGAAUGCGACAUCCCCGCCGUUUCCCUUCCUCGAAUAAAGAAAGAGGGAGAUCGCCGG